rnacentral:rRNA from 1 species
UUAGUUACGUCGGGUGUGAAAAUCUGGGGCUCAACCCCAGACCUGCACUCGAUACGGGCUAGCUAGAGUUUGGUAGGGGAGACUGGAAUUCCUGGUGUAGCGGUGGAAUGCGCAGAUAUCAGGAGGAACACCAAUGGCGAAGGCAGGUCUCUGGGCCAAUACUGACACUGAGGAGCGAAAGCGCGGGGAGCGAACAGGAUUAGAUACCCUGGUAGUCCGCGCCGUAAACGGUGGGCGCUAGUUGUGGGGACCUUCCACGGUCUCUGCGACGCAGCUAACGCAUUAAGCGCCCCGCCUGGGGAGUACGAUCGCAAGAUUAAAACUCAAAGGAAUUGACGGGGCCCCGCACAAGCAGCGGAGCAUGCGGCUUAAUUCGACGCAACGCGAAGAACCUUACCAAGGCUUGACAUAUACCGAAAAGCAGCAGAAAUGUUGUGUCCGCAAGGGCGGUAUACAGGUGGUGCAUGGUUGUCGUCAGCUCGUGUCGUGAGAUGUUGGGUUAAGUCCCGCAACGAGCGCAACCCUCGUUCUGUGUUGCCAGCAUUAAGUUGGGGACUCACAGGAGACUGCCGUGGUUAACACGGAGGAAGGUGGGGAUGACGUCAAAUCAUCAUGCCCCUUAUGUCUUGGGCUGCACGCAUGCUACAAUGGCAGGUACAAAGGGCUGCGAUACCGUAAGGUGGAGCGAAUCCCAAAAAGUCUGUCUCAGUUCGGAUUGAGGUCUGCAACUCGACCUCAUGAAGUCGGAGUUGCUAGUAAUCGUAGAUCAGCAACGCUACGGUGAAUACGUUCCCGGGGCUUGUACACACCGCCCGUCACGUCACGAAAGUCGGUAACACCCAAAGUCAGUGGCCCAACCGUAAGGAGGGAGCUGCCUAAGGUGGGAUCGGUGAUUGGGACGACGUCGUAACAAGG